rnacentral:sRNA from 1 species
UCACAAUGGAAAACGUCUCUGUAAUUGU